rnacentral:ncRNA from 1 species
AAAGUUGUUGCAGUUAAAAAGCUCGUAGUUGAACCUUGGGCCUGGCUGGCCGGUCCGCCUCACCGCGUGUACUGGUCCGGCCGGGCCUUUCCUUCUGGGGAACCUCAUGCCCUUCACUGGGCGUGUUGGGGAACCAGGACUUUUACUUUGAAAAAAUUAGAGUGUUCAAAGCAGGCCUUUGCUCGAAUACAUUAGCAUGGAAUAAUAGAAUAGGACGUGUGGUUCUAUUUUGUUGGUUUCUAGGACCGCCGUAAUGAUUAAUAGGGAUAGUCGGGGGCAUCAGUAUUCAAUCGUCAGAGGUGAAAUUCUUGGAUUGAUUGAAGACUAACUACUGCGAAAGCAUUUGCCAAGGAUGUUUUCAUUAAUCAGUGAACGAAAGUUAGGGGAUCGAAGACGAUCAGAUACCGUCGUAGUCUUAACCAUAAACUAUGCCGACUAGGGAUCGGACGGUGUUAGUAUUUUGACCCGUUCGGCACCUUACGAGAAAUCAAAGUUUUUGGGUUCUG